rnacentral:rRNA from 1 species
UAGGGAAUCUUCCACAAUGGGCGAAAGCCUGAUGGAGCAACGCCGCGUGUGUGAUGAAGGCUUUCGGUCGUAAAGCACUGUCGUAUGGGAAGAACAGCUAGAAUAGGAAAUGAUUUUAGUUUGACGGUACCAUACCAGAAAGGGACGGCUAAAUACGUGCCAC